AGAGAAGGAAAGGAAUUGAAUAAUAUUUUUGCCAUCACCAUUGCUGUCCACGAGCCACCAAUGGUCGCUGCUUGUAGUGGUGAGAAAGGGUGAGCUGAACAAGAUGGCCGUCGGAGCUCUAACUUAUUGUCUUUUUUCAUGUGAACGGAGCUUCGAUCUGCUCUUGCUUUUUCGUCAGUCCCUGGCGGACAAACGGUCAUUGACGCUGCAUGCAA